rnacentral:rRNA from 1 species
GAUGAACGCUAGCUACAGGCUUAACACAUGCAAGUCGCGGGGCAGCAUGGGGGUUGCUUGCAAUCCCCGAUGGCGACCGGCGCACGGGUGAGUAACGCGUAUCCAACCUGCCCUUCACCACGGGAUAACCCGGCGAAAGUCGGACUAAUACCGUAUGUUGUCCAUUGACGGCAUCCGAUUUGGACGAAAGGUUUGGCGGUGAAGGAUGGGGAUGCGUCCGAUUAGCUGGACGGCGGGGUGACGGCCCACCGUGGCGACGAUCGGGAGGGGUUCUGAGAGGAAGGUCCCCCACACUGGAACUGAGACACGGUCUAGACUCCUACGGGAGGCAGCAGUGAGGAAUAUUGGUCAAUGGGCGUAAGCCUGAACCAGCCAAGUAGCGUGCAGGAUGACGGCCCUAUGGGUUGUAAACUGCUUUUAUGCGGGGAUAAAGUGGCCCACGUGUGGGUUUUUGCAGGUACCGCAUGAAUAAGGACCGGCUAAUUCCGUG